rnacentral:rRNA from 1 species
GACGAACGCUGGCGGCGUGCCUAAUACAUGCAAGUAGAACGCAGUUGCGAACGGGUGAGUAACGCGUAUGUACCUGCCUCAUAGCGGGGGAUAACUAUUGGAAACGAUAGCUAAUACCGCAUACUGUGAGCUGGACCUGCGUUGUAUUAGCUAGUUGGUGGGGGAAAGGCUCACCAAGGCGACGAUACAUAGCCGGCCUGAGAGGGUGAGCGGCGACACGGGGACUGCGCCACGGCCCAGAAUCCUACAGGAGGCCGCAGUAGGGAGUCUGCGGCAAUAGACGGAAGUCUGACCAAGCAACGCCGCGUGAGUGAAGAAAGUUUACGGAUCGUGAAGCUCUGGUGUUAGAGAAGGGGUAACUAACCAGAAAGGGACGGCUAACUACGUGCCAGCAGCCGCGGUAAUAC